AUUGAACGCUGGCGGCAGGCCUAACACAUGCAAGUCGAACGAGUGGCGGACGGGUGAGUAAUGUCUGGGACACUGCCUGAUGGAGGGGGAUAACUACUGGAAACGGUAGCUAAUACCGCAUACCAUCAGAUGUGCCCAGAUGGGAUUAGCUUGGUGGUGGGGUAACGGCUCACCAAGGCGACGAUCCCUAGCUGGUCUGAGAGGAUGACCCGCCACACUUGAACUGGGACACGGUGCCGAAUCCUACGUGAGGCAGCAGGGGGGAAUCUUGCACAAUGGGCGCAAGGCUGAUGCAGCCAUGCGGCGUGGAUGAAGAAGGGCUUCGGGUUGUAAAGUACUUUCAGCGGGGAAGCGUUACCCGCAGAAGAAGCACCGGCUAACUCCGUGCCAGCAGCCGCGGUAAUAC
rnacentral:rRNA from 1 species